rnacentral:rRNA from 1 species
AGUGAACGCUGGCGGUAGGCCUAACACAUGCAAGUCGAACGGCAGCACAGUAAGAGCUUGCUCUUACGGGUGGCGAGUGGCGGACGGGUGAGGAAUACAUCGGAAUCUACUUUUUCGUGGGGGAUAACGUCGGGAAACUUACGCUAAUACCGCAUACGACCUACGGGUGAAAGCAGGGGAUCUUCGGACCUUGCGCGAUUGAAUGAGCCGAUGUCGGAUUAGCUAGUUGGCGGGGUAAAGGCCCACCAAGCCAACGAUCCGUAGCUGGUCUGAGAGGAUGAUCAGCCACACUGGAACUGAGACACGGUCCAGACUCCUACGGGAGGCAGCAGUGGGGAAUAUUGGACAAUGGGCGCAAGCCUGAUCCAGCCAUACCGCGUGGGUGAAGAAGGCCUUCGGGUUGUAAAGCCCUUUUGUUAGGAAAGAAAAGCAGCAGAUUAAUACCCCGCUGUUCUGACGGUACCCAAAGAAUAAGCACCGGCUAACUUCGUG